UAGGGAAUAUUGGGCAAUGGACGGAAGUCUGACCCAGCCAUGCCGCGUGCAGGAAGAAGGCGCUCAGCGUUGUAAACUGCUUUUAUCGGGGAAGAACGGCAGUCCUGCGGGAUUGUGUGACGGUACUCGAGGAAUAAGCACCGGCUAACUCCGUGCCAGCAGCCGCGGUAAUACGGAGGGUGCGAGCGUUGUCCGGAUUUACUGGGUUUAAAGGGUGCGUAGGUGGGUCUGUAAGUCAGUGGUGAAAUCUUCGAGCUUAACUCGGAAACUGCCAUUGAUACUAUAGGUCUUGCAUCAUCUGGAGGUGAGCGGAAUAUGUCAUGCAGCGGUGAAAUGCUUAGAUAUGACAUAGAACACCGAUUGCGAAGGCAGCUCACUACGGAUGUAUUGACACUGAGGCACGAAAGCGUGGGGAUCAAACA
rnacentral:rRNA from 1 species